rnacentral:rRNA from 1 species
GGAUGAGCCCGCGGCCUAUCAACUUGUUGGUGGGGUAAUGGCCUACCAAGGCGACGACGGGUAGCCGGCCUGAGAGGGCGACCGGCCACACUGGGACUGAGACACGGCCCAGACCCCUACGGGAGGCAGCAGUGGGGAAUAUUGCACAAUGGGCGGAAGCCUGAUGCAGCGACGCCGCGUGAGGGAUGAUGGCCUUCGGGUUGUAAACCUCUUUCAGCAGGGACGAAGCGCAAGUGACGGUACCUGCAGAAGAAGCACCGGCUAACUACGUGCCAGCAGCCGCGGCCG